ACCAAUGUGACAUCAAAAAUCCCAAAUCCCUAUUCUUUUCCAAAUUCUCUCAAACCUCGAUUGGAUGCCAAACUCAAGUUCAAGCUAGAGGAUAAAUUUUCAAGUGCUUUCUUCUCCUAAUGUGUGGGUUUUUCUAACAUAAAUGUGGUGAUGGCUAGAUGAUGAUUCUAAGAGCAAUGAGCUUGGAUAGAUGUUUCCCAAGGGGUCCUUAAGAUUCAAGGAUUUCCUAUGUAAAGAUAUUCAAAGUUUAUGCAAUAGUGUAGAUUGUAUUAUUAUUUUUGUAAUGGUAGUAUCCCUAGUCUAUCUUAUUGAUGUUCAGCCUAAGAUGGCAAUUGAUAUUUAGUGUCUACACUU